AGGACAAACGCUGGCGGCGUGCUUAACACAUGCAAGUCGAGCGGAAAGGCCCUUCGGGGUACUCGAGCGGCGAACGGGUGAGUAACACGUGAGUAACCUGCCCUUGGCUCUGGGAUAGCUCCGGGAAACCGGAAUUAAUACCGGAUAUGACUUCGGCCGACAUCGGCUGCGGUGGAAAGAUUUAUCGGCCAGGGAUGGGCUCGCGGCCUAUCAGCUUGUUGGUGGGGUAACGGCCUACCAAGGCGACGACGGGUAGCCGGCCUGAGAGGGCGACCGGCCACACUGGGACUGAGACACGGCCCAGACUCCUACGGGAGGCAGCAGUGGGGAAUAUUGCGCAAUGGGCGAAAGCCUGACGCAGCGACGCCGCGUGGGGGAUGAAGGCCUUCGGGUUGUAAACCCCUUUCGGCAGGGACGAAGCGAAGUGACGGUACCUGCAGAAGAGCGCCGGCUACUACGCGCCAGCAGCCGC
rnacentral:rRNA from 1 species